UACGAAGGGGGCUAGCGUUGCUCGGAAUCACUGGGCGUAAAGCGCACGUAGGCGGCUUUUUUAAGUCAGGGGGUGAAAUCCUGGAGCUCAACUCCAGAACUGCCUUUGAUACUGGGAGCUCGAGUCCGGGAGAGGUGAGUGGAACUCCGAGUGUAGAGGUGAAAUUCGUAGAUAUUCGGAAGAACACCAGUGGCGAAGGCGGCUCACUGGCCCGGUACUGACGCUGAGGUGCGAAAGCGUGGGGA
rnacentral:rRNA from 1 species